GGAUUAGAUACCCUGGUAGUCCACGCCGUAAACGAUGUCUACUAGUCGUUGGGAAUCUUAGUAUUCUUGGUGACGAAGUUAACGCGAUAAGUAGACCGCCUGGGGAGUACGGCCGCAAGGUUAAAACUCAAAUGAAUUGACGGGGGCCCGCACAAGCGGUGGAGCAUGUGGUUUAAUUCGAUGCAACGCGAAGAACCUUACCAGGCCUUGACAUCCUUGGAACUUUCUAGAGAUAGAUUGGUGCCUUCGGGAGCCAAGUGACAGGUGCUGCAUGGCUGUCGUCAGCUCGUGCCG
rnacentral:rRNA from 1 species